rnacentral:rRNA from 1 species
CCUACGGGAGGCUGCAGUGGGGAAUAUUGCACAAUGGGGGAAACCCUGAUGCAGCGACGCCGCGUGAGCGAUGAAGUAUUUCGGUAUGUAAAGCUCUAUCAGCAGGGAAGAAAAUGGCGGUACCUGACUAAGAAGACCCGGCUAACGACGUGCCAGCAGCCGCGGUAAGACGGAGGGGGCAAGCGUUAUCCGGAUUUACUGGGUGUAAAGGGAGCGUAGACGGCGGUGCAAGCCAGAUGUGAAAGCCCGGGGCUCCACCCCGGGACUGCAUUUGGAACUGUGCUGCUAGAGUGUCGGAGAGGCAGGCGGCAUUCCUCGUGUAGCGGUGAACUGCUUAGAUCUUAGGAGGCACCCCAGUGGCGACGGCGGCCUGCUGGACGAUGACUGCCGUUGCGGCUCGACCGCGUGGGGAGCACACAGGAUUCGCUACCCUAGUAGUC